rnacentral:rRNA from 1 species
GAUGAACGCUAGCUACAGGCUUAACACAUGCAAGUCGAGGGGAAACGGCAUUUAGUGCUUGCACCGAAUGGACGUCGACCGGCGCACGGGUGGGUAACGCGUAUCCAACCUACCCAUUACUGUGGGAUAACCUGCCGAAAGGCAGACUAAUACCGCAUAGUCUUCGAUGACGGCAUCAGAUUUGAAGUAAAGAUUUGUCGGUAAUGGAUGGGGAUGCGUCUGAUUAGCUUGUUGGCGGGGUAACGGCCCACCAAGGCGACGAUCAGUAGGGGUUCUGAGAGGAAGGUCCCCCACAUUGGAACUGAGACACGGUCCAAACUCCUACGGGAGGCAGCAGUGAGGAAUAUUGGUCAAUGGACGAGAGUCUGAACCAGCCAAGUAGCGUGCAGGAUGACGGCCCUAUGGGUUGUAAACUGCUUUUGUAUGGGGAUAAAGUCAAUCACGUGUGAUUGUUUGCAGGUACCAUACGAAUAAGGACCGGCUAAUUCCGUGCCAGCAGCCGCGGUAAUACGGAAGGUCCGGGCGUUAUCCGGAUUUAUUGGGUUUAAAGGGAGCGUAGGCCGGAGAUUAAGUGUGUUGUGAAAUGUAGACGCUCAACGUCUGACUUGCAGCGCAUACUGGUUUCCUUGAGUACGCACAACGUUGGCGGAAUUCGUCGUGUAGCGGUGAAAUGCUUAGAUAUGACGAAGAACUCCGAUUGCGAAGGCAGCUGACGGGAGCGCAACUGACGCUUAAGCUCGAAGGUGCGGGUAUCGAACAGG